GAGACUGAUCUUCAUUUCUGUACUUUUAAAUUGGAAGAUUCCCGCCAAGAUUUCUUGAAUCGGUUUGAUUUUCAGAUCACAUAGCCAGUUUCAGGGUUCUUGUCACCGAUUCUGAUCUAUUCCUAGCCGAUCUGAAUUGGAAUCGUUCAUCACCGAUUCCUUUUGACAUGUUUUCCCUUCUCUUCUCCUGCUGAAUGACUCAUGCUGAGUAACCAAUGCCAGGUGAAGAACAGGAGGAUAUUGUAAUGACCGAAACCAGAGGCCAGAGGUAGUAAGAAACUGAAGCCCCAACGAAACGAUGGUGCUUGCUAGUGUUUGUGUGUUUCGUUACUUCUCUCCCUUAGUGAGCAAUAGAAUGCCCUUAAUAGCUAACUCUAUCCUCUCGAGAGCUUUUUUCUCGCUUCUUCCAAGGCGAGGGCUUCAGGUAGCUGCUUCAGCCUCGUCCUCAAAUUCGACCUCUCAAUUGGACUCCGUAGCUCCCGUCACAGAACGAUGGAAGCCCUUGUGUUUGUACCAUACCCAAGGCAAGUGCACAAAGGCAGAUGAUGUUUCGCACCUUGCAAAGUUCAAUCAUAAUUGUUUCAAAGAUCUUCAAGUGAAUGCGGCUGACCUCAAAUGUUUGUGCUCUCAGCACCUUGAUUAUGUUUUGGUGCUCGACUUGGAAGGGAAAGUUGAGAUUCUUGAGUUUCCUGUCAUAAUCAUUGAUGCAAAAACCUUGGAUGUCGUGGAUUUCUUUCACAGGUUUGUGCGGCCUUCCAUCAUGAGUGAGCAAAGAGUUAAUGAAUAUAUUGAAGGAAAAUAUGGGAAAAUUGGAGUUGACCGUGUCUGGCAUGACACAGCAAUUCCUUUCAAGGAUGUUCUUCAGCAAUUUGAGACUUGGAUAAGUCAUCAUUGCUUAUGGGAGAGGGAGCUGGGAGGAACUCUUCGUCAAGCUGCAUUUGUAACUUGGGACACCAUUGGUGGAUGGAGGCGUGCAGUCGCUUAGAGAAUGUGGCGGCUCGGUGACAGAAAGCUAAGGAGGAACUUCAGCAACUCCAAGACCAUUUGGCGCAGGUCCAGGGUCAGCUAAAGUCUUUGAAUAAGGAGCGCCGGGCUGUGGAGGCCAAGUCCGUGGGCCUCCAGAGGAGGUGUGGAGAGUUGGAGGGGGAAGUCAGCAAGCUUCUACUUGAGAAGGGUUAGAUGGUGAAGGCUAAAGAGUCACUUGAGGCUGAAUUUAUUGAGCUUCAGGAGGAACUUCGCAAGAAGGCCGCGGCUCAGGAGUUGGCCAUCCAAUCUCUUCAGGAGCAGCAUCGUUCAGCGCUUAAGGAGGUUGAGAUGAGGGCCAUGGAGAGGUAUGUGAACUCCCCUGAAGGGCAGGAAUGGCUGCUGAGUUUGAACACAUCUUCCUUCAACUCUGGCUCGGACACAGUUGUGAACUUCUUCCUGAGGAAGUAUCCUCACCUCGAUCCAAUUGACUACGAGCACUACUUUUUGCCCCCUCAGCCUUCCUUGCUAAAGGGAAGCAUUACGGUGGAGGUAGGUGAUGAAGUGAAUCGGGGGAGUGCUCCCACUGCCGUGUACGAGAGAUCCUCUCCUCUAGAGACUGUUCACCACUCGGAUUCUCCCCGUGGUGGCAAGAAGAAGAAGACCCCUCCAAUCUCCCAGGCCUCGCUUUUUGCUGAGGAGAUCCCCGCUGUGGUAACUCCAGAUUCCGAGAAGACUGCAGCCGAGAAGGCUCCUCCUGCUGCUCCCUGAACCCUUCUGAAUCUUGCACCGAGGACAUCCUUCGUCCUAUUUUUGUGGUAAUUGGGACUUGAAGACCAAGGUUCCUCAGCAAUGCAAAGUUUCAAAAGUGAAACUACCACAGUAUUUCAUGGAGUGGAUCAAUCUGAAGGACAUAUAUCUCAAUUUUUAUCACAGGAGGG